UGACAUAGAACAAGGAAUCGUACAUUUAACAGCUUUAUUACCAAAUUUUCUGUGAUUUUGACCUAUCUCUAGAACGCAUGACCUCCAAAGCUAAAAUUCUACGUUCGAGAUCGGCAAGAUCACAAGAUUUAGUAUUACAAGGCUCAGUUGAAGGAGUUAUCAUAGCAACUUGAAGUCCAGACUCCCGAUCCAUGAUUUUAUCAGCUAAAUCAGCCAACUUAAUUAGAGGACUACCUUCAACAACUGCCAAAGUGCUUGAACGCGAUAAGGUGGUCUCUCAAUUAUCUCAGCAACCAUUAAAAGAGCUUGUUCAUCAAGAUGUCUUAUUACAGUGCUAUAUUUGAUAUCAUCCGAACGAAUCAGAAAAACCAAAAAUUCACUCUCAAGUUAAGCAAACCAGAGUUUCGGUUGCUUAUGCCAGAAAAUCGGUAGCUUAAGAAGACGAAAUUCGUUGGCAUUGAUUUCACCGGACUCACCUGAAUUUCUCGGCUCAUUGCUGGUAUGUUGAGCUGCUCUUUCCGUAUAAUUGGCAUGCUGAUCCUGUUGAUCUUCAGAAGCUGAAACUGAUCUUGGAGUGGCGGACGGUGUUCUAUCGACAGGCAUCUCGAAGAAUUUUCGAAGUUCUAAGCAACGAAGUCCAAGAAACUUGCCGAAUAACAACUCAGCCACCAAGAAGACUAGAAGUUCUUGUCAAAGAAAAGCCGUAAAUUGUCCAGAAGUUUCCACAAUUCCACACUGAACAAGAAAUCGGACUUGCAGAUUUCUUAGUCACUAAUUUAGAAGUACCGCACUUGACGAGAUCACGUCGGGGUCACCAGUUGUGGGAACUUAUGUGAAAAUAACUAGACUUUCUUUGUAUUUAAUUAUUAAUAUUUAAUCAGAAAUAA